rnacentral:rRNA from 1 species
GACGAACCGUACGAACGUUAUUCGGAAUCACUGGGCUUAAAGGGUGCGUAGGCGGCGCAGAAAGUUGGGUGUGAAAUCCCUCGGCUUAACCGAGGAAUUGCGCCCAAAACUACUGUGCUCGAGGGAGGUAGAGGUGAGCGGAACUUAGGGUGGAGCGGUGAAAUGCGUUGAUAUCCUAAGGAACACCGGUGGCGAAAGCGGCUCACUGGACCUCUUCUGACGCUGAGGAGCGAAAGCCAGGGGAGCAAACGGG